rnacentral:rRNA from 1 species
UACAGAGGUCCCGAGCGUUGUUCGGAUUCACUGGGCGUAAAGGGUGCGUAGGUGGUGAGGUGUGUCGGAUGUGAAAUCUCCAAGCUCAACUUGGAAAGGGCAUUGGAAACUACCUUGCUAGAGGGUUGGAGGGGGGACUGGGAUACUUGGUGUAGCAGUGAAAUGCGUAGAUAUCAAGUGGAACACCAGUGGCGAAGGCGAGUCCCUGGGCCUGCACUGACGCUCAUGCACGAAAGCGUGGGGAGCAAACAGG